rnacentral:rRNA from 1 species
GAGAGUUUGAUCAUGGCUCAGAUUGAACGCUGGCGGCAGGCCUAACACAUGCAAGUCGAGCGGUAACAGGACUAGCUUGCUAGUUGCUGACGAGCGGCGGACGGGUGAGUAACGCGUAGGAAUCUACCAAGUAGUGGGGGAUAAGCCAGAGAAAUUUGGUCUAAUACCGCAUACGUUCUUCGGAAGAAAGGAGGGGAUCUUCGGACCUUUCGCUAUUUGAUGAGCCUGCGUGAGAUUAGCUUGUUGGUGAGGUAAGAGCUCACCAAGGCGACGAUCUCUAGCUGGUCUGAGAGGAUGAUCAGCCACACUGGGACUGAGACACGGCCCAGACUCCUACGGGAGGCAGCAGUGGGGAAUAUUGCACAAUGGGCGCAAGCCUGAUGCAGCCAUGCCGCGUGUGUGAAGAAGGCCCUAGGGUUGUAAAGCACUUUCAGCAGUGAGGAAAGGUGUGUGGUUAAUACCCGCAUACUGUGACGUUAACUGCAGAAGAAGCACCGGCUAACUCCGUGCCAGCAGCCGCGG